rnacentral:rRNA from 1 species
GACGAACGCUGGCGGCAUGCCUAACACAUGCAAGUCGAACGAGACCUUCGGGUCUAGUGGCGCUCGGGUGCGUAACGCGUGGGAACCUGCCCUUAGGUUCGGAAUAACUCCCCGAAAGGGGUGCUAAUACCGGAUAAUGUCUUCGGACCAAAGAUUUAUCGCUUUUGGAUGGGCCCGCGUUGGAUUAGCUAGUUGGUAGGGUACAAGCCUACCAAGGCGACGAUCCAUAGCUGGUCUGAGAGGAUGAUCAGCCACACUUGGACUGAGACACGGCCCAGACUCCUACGGAAGGCAGCAGUGUGGAAUAUUGGACAAUGGGGGAAAUCCUGAUCCAGCAAUGCCGCGUGAGUGAUGAAGGCCUUAGGGUUGUAAAGCUCUUUUACCCGGGAUGAUAAUGACGGUACCGGGAGAAUAAGCUCCGGCUAACUCCGUG